AGGCCCAGCGCUUCGCUUUCAUGAGUCUUUCGAAAAGACGUCGCUCGCGCGUUCCACUGAAGAAUUACGUGACGAUGCGACUCCGCCUUGCUGUAGUUAUUCUCCAAAAGAGGGUAUUCUGCCCGUGAAGUGAUUUAUUGCUGGUCAGUCUUUGAAUCGCUCUUUGUUAAUCGAGAUGGCAGCAGCCUUCGCACCUCCCCUCACUGUCUCCGUUGGUCAUCUGCAUUCACUGGGGGAAUAGGAAACCACAGACUUUUUAUACUACCUGAUGGGACAGAUCAUGGAAAGUCAGAAGUAUCUUAACACUGAACUAAAUUGGAUAUCCUUUAAGACUCGAUUGCACAGGAUAAUCCACUCAGUGGUGCGAAGUACCCGUGGUUCGUCCAUGAGGCCAAUGUUGAGAAAAGACACAGUCACGAGCUUUCUCGGGAUGG